UAAUUCUUGUGCUGUAUUAACUCUAGGCUGCUGACACGGAUUCCGGGGUUCGGCCGCGGAAGCGGGCGCCGGGCAAGCGCUCCGCCGGAUGCGCGCGCAGCCUGCACUCCUGGCCUCGAGCAGCCCGCCGCGGCCGCCAUCGCCAGGCUGUCCCGGCCCUGGCCGUGUCUGGGAACAAUAAAGCUCUUGUUGUCGGAGGUCGGGCGAGCCUUUUCUCCAGUCGUCCUUCUUCCUUGGGCUCCGCUCCCAGUGCAUGGAGAAGCAGGGCAGGAUGGACUGCCCCGCGCUGCCCCCGGGCUGGAAGAAGGAAGAGGUGAUCCGCAAGUCGGGCCUUAGCGCCGGCAAGAGUGACGUAUACUACUUCAGUCCAAGUGGUAAGAAGUUCAGAAGCAAGCCUCAGUUGGCAAGAUACUUGGGAAACACUGUUGAUCUCAGCAGUUUUGACUUCAGAACGGGAAAGAUGAUGCCCAGUAAAUUGCAGAAGAACAAACAGAGACUAAGGAAUGAUUCUCUCAAUCAAAAUAAGGGAAAACCAGACUUAAAUACAGCUUUACCAAUCAGACAAACUGCAUCAAUUUUCAAACAACCAGUCACCAAAGUUACUAAUCAUCCUAGUAACAAAGUACGGUCUGACUCACAGCGAGUGAUGGAGCAGCCACAACAGCUUUUCUGGGAGAAGAGGCUACAGGGCCUCAGCGCCUCGGAUGUCAGUGAACAAAUCAUAAAAUCCAUGGAGCUACCUAAAGGUCUUCAAGGAGUUGGCCCGGGUAAUAAUGACAAUACCCUGUUAUCAGCUGUUGCUAGUGCUUUGCACACCAGUUCUGCACCAAUCACGGGGCAGCUCUCUGCAGCUGUUGAGAAGAACCCAGCUGUCUGGCUUAAUACAUCUCAGCCUCUCUGCAAAGCUUUCAUAGUCACGGAUGAUGACAUUAGAAAACAAGAAGAGCGGGUGCAACAAGUGCGUAAAAAGCUGGAGGAAGCACUAAUGGCAGACAUUUUGUCACGAGCAGCUGAUACAACAAAAGAUAUAGAUGUAAAAAUGGAUAAUAGAGAUGAAGUAUAAAAAGCAAUCAGGUACAGUGGAGAUAACUUUUACACAACUAUGAAUACUUUGUUCAGGUAACUUGUAGACAUAGAAUGGAAGUUUCCAGGCUGUGACCUGUUUAGCAAGGCUGUUGAACAUUCAAACCAGCAUUCAACCCAUAGCAUAGAGGGGUAAUUCCAUGUCAUUUUGGUUCCCUGCUAUAAGAAAAAUAUAAGCCUGGUGCACUCAGCAGCCAGAUGUUGGUUUUGCACUCAGUAUCAGGACUGUGCACUAGGUUACCGCUUCCGAUACAAGGGUGUGUUGCUUGAGUAAAAUCUUAUAACUAGGAACAAAAUGUGUUUAAAAUGUUCAGUCACUCUUAUUACUUAUAGUGUCAGUGCCACAUAAAGGAAAACUUGGUCUUUAAAUGUGAACAAAAGCUAUUUCCCAGUGUUGUUUACUGGCAACUUAACAGGCCAGAAAUCUUGAUGAUUUCUGGGCUACUGGAAUCUUUUAAUUACUUUGUUACAGCUAUUUACUAUUAAACUCCUAAUCCCUGAGUAUUUCUCCUAUAAAACUAAUUAUGGAUAACUUUAAAGGAAGAUAAGAAAGAACAUUAGUUUAAGAUGUGACAUUUCAAAUAUUUGCCAUUUUAGAAUCAAAUUGUCAUUUUGAUUUUUUUUAAUUUAGAAUAAAAUAAUUAUUUUCUAAUGGAGUCAUAAAUCUGUUUGUAGAAGUGGUUAUUUUUGCACUGGUACUGUGGUUCUCUGCAAAAAUCAGUUGGAUCAGUAGAACUUGAGUUUCAUCAACUUGUAAACUCAUUCCCUUUUUACAUGUAUGUAGCCAGUGUACAUGUAGACAUGCAUGUGUUGGCUGUGUUCUGUAAAACUGCUUUUUUUUUUUCCCUAGUGGUUUUAAUUAUUGACUUGAACAAGAUUUUUGAGUACUUUUAACUGACUUAUCCCAGGAGGAACUUCCUAAAAGACAGAGGCACUUUCUCCUUCGGUCUUUCGUUAUAAGAAUAAAUGGACCCAUGCACAUUUUUAUAGCUUUCUAAUAUCAUUAAAACCAAUGCCUUUUUUAGACUUCUAUUUUUGAUGUAUAUAUCUUAUUUGAAAAGCAACUUUAUUUUGUGUCCUAUGACUUAAAGUCCUUUUUUAAGUAUUGAAUGUUACCCUUAAUCUAAAGCUGAGCUUUUGAUGCCAGGUUGCAAACUUACUGGAAUUAUAUUGCCUGUACUAAAUAUUUGUUUUUCCUGUGGUUUUUAGUAAGAAUAAAUCAGAAGAACCAAAUAAUUUCCUAAUUAAAGAUUAUUGUGACUCUGUAUAUAAACAGAUUUUUAUACCUAUUGCUGAAAACACCUGUACAUUCUUCUGUUAUCACUGUAAAGAUAAAUAAAUUAUUAUAAUCUA